rnacentral:rRNA from 1 species
AGAUUGAACGCUGGCGGCAGGCUUAACACAUGCAAGUCGAGCGGUAACAUUUCUAGCUUGCUAGAAGAUGACGAGCGGCGGACGGGUGAGUAAUGCUUGGGAAUAUGCCUUGGAGUGGGGGACAACAGUUGGAAACGACUGCUAAUACCGCAUAAUGUGCUUUUUGUAGUAAAAAGUUCCAAAGGGGGGGCUCUUCGGACCUCUCGCUUCUUGAUUAGCCCAAGUGAGAUUAGCUAGUUGGUGAGGUAAAGGCUCACCAAGGCGACGAUCUCAAGCUGGUUUGAGAGGAUGAUCAGCCACACUGGGACUGAGACACGGCCCAGACUCCUACGGGAGGCAGCAGUGGGGAAUAUUGCACAAUGGGCGAAAGCCUGAUGCAGCCAUGCCGCGUGUGUGAAGAAGGCCUUCGGGUUGUAAAGCACUUUCAGUUGUGAGGAAAGGGAUGUAGUUAAUAGCUGCAUUCUGUGACGUUAACAACAGAAGAAGCACCGGCUAACUUCGUGCCAGCAGCCGCGGUAAUACGAGGGGUGCAAGCGUUAAUCGGAAUUACUGGGCGUAAAGCGUUCGUAGGCGGUUAUUUAAGCAAGAUGUGAAAGCCCAGGGCUCAACCUUGGAACUGCAUUUUGAACUGGGUAACUAGAGUACUGUAGAGGGUGGUGGAAUUUCCAGUGUAGCGGUGAAAUGCGUAGAGAUUGGAAGGAACAUCAGUGGCGAAGGCGGCCACCUGGACAGAUACUGACGCUGAGGAACGAAAGCGUGGGGAGCGAACAGGAUUAGAUACCCUGGUAGUCCACGCCGUAAACGAUGUCAACUAGCCGUUUGUGGUCUUGAACCGUGAGUGGCGCAGCUAACGCACUAAGUUGACCGCCUGGGGAGUACGGCCGCAAGGUUA